GAUAACAACCCACAUAAAUAUGAUCCACAAACUGGAAUAAGUUCACCUCAUAAUCAGGCAGUGAUUACAUAUCUGCUGGAGGAAUUGAAGACAACCUAUGCAGAUGCAGACCCUGAGUGUAUAAAGGCCUGUUGCAGGACUUACUAUGAGACAUUGCGGAGUAAAUACUCUUUGUCUCAGCCAGGAAAGUCCCAGCUAAGAGACUGCAUUAAGGUCAGGGCUAAAAACCAACAAAGGAAAAGACGAUUGCUGGAGUCCAAGUCUAGGGUCAUCCAAACAGAUGAAGAGAGAGAACUGUGGCAGACUACAAUGCUGGAACUGAUGUCCAAUGAGGAGGAUACCAUUGUUAAUGGAAGACGUGAGGUCUCCGCCUCA